GUGCUCACUUUGGCAGCUCAUAAACUAAAAUUGGAACGAUACAGAGAAAAUUAGCAUGGCCCCUUCGCGAGGGUGACAUGAAAAUUCGUGAAGUGUCCAUAUUUCUU